UAGAGAGGAUUAUAAAGGUUGAGUCUUUUACAGCUGGUCCUUUUCUUCAUUGAAGGAGAAAUUAACCUAUGUCCCUUCCUUUCUUCUUCUCCUUUUUCUUUUUUCUAGAAACAGAGAUCUGAGUGACCUUAUGAUGGAGCCAAAAUCACUGUGCUUCAUAACCUACCAAUCUUUUUUCUUGGCCGUGCGAUCAGGAGACCUUAACUCU
rnacentral:misc_RNA from 1 species